rnacentral:lncRNA from 1 species
GUUCUAGUGCCUCAUGUUAGGGGGCGCCGGUGAGCCCUGAGAUUAUGACGCUAAAAAAUAAUAGAAGAAGUGAUAGCAAGCGGCAAGUCAUUUUCUUCAGAAGGAGCGGCGUAUGGACUUUAUUUACAAGUAAAGGUAAGACGAUAAUAACGUUUGUGUCUUUUUCUAUGCUGCAGUUUGUAUAUGAAAAAAACAUGUUGAAAUGAUAUUUUAAACAAAACACGUUAACUGUUGUCAAUCAAAUGGUGAAUAAGUUACUCAGUAUGGUUCAUAUGUUUGUAAAUCUGACUGAUGACGUCAGUGCCUCACCAGCCAUUAACCUCACCGCACGUCACUGAAUCACUUGUAUGCUAUGAGUGCGUGUAACUUUCAUUGACCUUACAAGUACUUUACAAUACAUUAACCACCCGCAUGGCAAAUAUAUGUUUCAUUUUCAUGACGUCCCUUACUAUGGCAGCAGAGCCACAAAGGGAACUGCAAGACACACCUACACUUCCUUUAAGAUGUGGCCACACCUGUCAAUGACCCUCUACUUUGGAGCCCAUGUCCUGACAUGGAUAAAAUAAACUAUAUCUCGUUCCCACAAAUGAAUAUCUUGUUCCCACAAAUGAAUAUCUUGUUCCCACAAGUUAAUAUCUUGUUCCCACAAAAUAAUAUUCCGUUCCCGCGGAUUAAUUAACUUGUGCGAUUGAAGUAAUUAUUUACGUCAUAAGUCCUUCAUGAACACGGAUUGCUGCUUCCCCUACCAGAUGACAUGGUGCCUCUGUCAGACUCCUCCCCCCUUCCUCCUCUGCUCCAUUCCUGACGGUGACCAACUGACUUCACUCAUCUCAUCAAGCCACUUCUACUUAAGGAGAUCCACUGCCUCUCUUCAACGCCAGUUCGUUGUUCCUCAACGGAUUACACAUCCACGGAUGCUCACCUGGUCACCGAAGUUUUCCCUAAUUUUAACGUCCCGCUGUCCGCAACUGCCUUGCUGUUCUGGAAACGUCCUGCCGAAACCCUCCAGCCACGCCGCACCUUCAAGCCAAGGACUCUAACUCAUUCCUCCAGAUUUCGAACUUACAAGCUAUAUUCCUAACCGAUUAUUAAUACCUCUCUCCUAUCUCUCGCCUCCUCGGUUUUCUUCCGGGUUCCAGCAUCUGGGU